GUUCCAAGAGUUUUAGGAGUUCUGUGCCAGGAAAAAUGAACAUAAACCAAAUGGUUUUCUAUUAUAGUGUAUCUGUUCUUGCAUGUUCUUUAUUUUUUUCCAUCACAACCCUUAGCAUAUUAUCAUAGUUAUUUUAAAUUCCUGAUCUGAUAAUUCCAACAUCUCUGCCACAUCUGUUGUGGUUCUGAUGUUUGCUCUGUCUUUUUAAACUUUUAUUUUUAUAUUUCAGUAUGCCUUGUAAUUUUUUGUUGCAAGCUGGAUAUAAUGUGCUGAGCAAAGAAACCGUGGUACAUACCUUUAGGGUGAGGUGUUGAGGUGUGGAAAGAAGGGCCAGCCCUAUGGUCCUAUUAUUGUUAAGGAUGGCACAAUACCAGCCCUGAGGAAGAAGCUAAGCUAAACCACUCACUGCUCCAGAACUAUUUGGAGACAGAUUGACUGGAAAAUAGGUUUUAUUCAAAGCCAGCAUCGAAGGAAGAUGGAAGAAGCCUGUUGUUUCAAAAGUUGUAUCUUGGAAAUCUCUGAGGGUGAGCAGAGCUUUUAAAGGAUGUUCGAGAUACUGGGGUGCCACAAGGAAUCAAACACCUGCUUGGAAGUAGCUUGGCAAGGCAAACUUUACUUCUGCAGAAGGAGGCACUGCCCGCUGAAGUCUGCCAAGCAAGCACACUCGGGCCAGCAGUCCACCUGUUUUUGUCCCUAAGGGCGGCACGGCACGGCCCAUUGCUCUGAUAGGAGGAGCUCGGGCUUAUAUUCCAGGUGAUUGGCUAAUUUUAAAAUUUUACAUUUAAGGCUAAAUACUAUAUUCUGAAAAUGGACCAACAGACUUUAUUUCUCACAAGGAGAAGAGGCAGAGAAAUGAGACAAAAGGCAGGAAACUUGUGGAUUUAGUUAGCAGGUGUUAAAUAGGCUUGGGGAGGUGACAAUCUCUAAGUGUACAUGGCCCUGGGGUGGGGUUGAGGCAAGUCCUUCAGAUUACACCUCAACAGGGGGAAGCUGCUAACAAUUUCAGACCCCACCCCUACCCCAUCAGUCUGUUUCAUUACCCAGUCUUAGCUGUGCCCCUGGGCUGUGAAAUUCACAACUGCUUCUCUGUCCACUAUCCCACCUAAGUGGUACAGAAUGGCUAUAGGGGUCUGGAGUUGAAU
rnacentral:lncRNA from 1 species